GGAAUAUUGCACAAUGGGGGAAACCCUGAUGCAGCGACGCCGCGUGAGUGAAGAAGUAUUUCGGUAUGUAAAGCUCUAUCAGCAGGGAAGAUGAUGACGGUACCUGACUAAGAAGCCCCGGCUAACUACGUGCCAGCAGCCGCGGUAAUACGUAGGGGGCAAGCGUUAUCCGGAUUUACUGGGUGUAAAGGGAGCGUAGACGGCCAGACAAGUCUGAAGUGAAAUCCCGCGGCUCAACCGCGGAACUGCUUUGGAAACUGCCAGGCUUGAGUGCAGGAGGGGUAAGUGGAAUUCCUAGUGUAGCGGUGAAAUGCGUAGAUAUUAGGAGGAACACCGGUGGCGAAGGCGGCUUACUGGACUGUAACUGACGUUGAGGCUCGAAAGCGUGGGGAGCAAACA
rnacentral:rRNA from 1 species